UACGAGAGCCCCAAGCGUUACCCGGAUUUAUUGGGCGUAAAGCGUGCUCAGAUGGCAAUAUAAGUCAAUGGUCAAAUCUCCCGGCUCAACCGGGAAACUGCUAUUGAUACUGUUUUGCUAGAGGCCGGAAGAGGUAAGCGGAAUUGCUGGUGUAGGGGUCAUAUCCGUUAAUAUCAGCAGGAACACCAAAUGCGAAGGCAGCUUACUAGGACGGUCCUGACAUUCAAGCACGACAGCGGGGGGAGCGAAGCGGAUUAGAUACCCGCGUAGUCCACGCCGUAAACGAUGGAUACUAGACUUUGGGAGUAUCGACCCUCUCAGAGUCGUUUAAAAAAGCUAACGCGUUAAGUAUCCCGCCUGGGAAGUACGGUCGCAAGACUAAA
rnacentral:rRNA from 1 species